GGGGGUGCGCGUGGAGUUGGAGAAGCUAGCCCGCCCUACCGCGGAGGCCGAGGGCUCACCGGCGCAGAGCCUGAGCUCACCGGAGCGGUGGCGGGAGGAAGAAGAAGCUUCUGACGGGCGGGACCCGCCCGUCAGUGGCCGUGUGAGGAGGGCAACGCCCGCGCGCGACGCGGGAAGCUCCCGGGCCGUGUCUUGGGCCGGGUCCAAGCAGGCCACCUGCGUAGCAGUGUGUUUUUCUUUUUUUCUUUUUGCUUAAAAAUGCUUGAUUUGUAGAAUUGUGUAGAAAAUUGUUUACUGAUUCAAAAAUCAUGGAAAUUUUUGUAUAGAUUUCAUAAAAUGGAUAGAACACAAGAAAAAUAGUAGGUUUCCUUUUCUGGUAAUGUGCAUGUAUAUAAAAAUUGCCUCUUUUAUUUAGCAAAUAAAACUUCUAUGAAUUUUAAUAAUUUAUUGAUAUGUCCAAAAAUCACCAAAAUUUGUGGGAUGCCUCUGAAUAUUAUUCCCUGGCUCCGCACAAAAUUUGGUGGCAUUUGGAUAAUGUUUGAAUAUAAUAUUAUUAAACCCUUAAUUAGUAAUUAAAUAAUAAUUCUAGAAUACUUAAAUAAUAAUUAGUUAAAUCCUCAAAAUUAGAAUUUGGGUGACUUUGGGAUUAUGUGAUGACCUG
rnacentral:lncRNA from 1 species